CAACUUUCAACAAUGGAUCUCUUGGUUCUCGCAUCGAUGAAGAACGCAGCGAAUUGCGAUAUGUAAUGUGAAUUGCAGAAUUCAGUGAAUCAUCGAAUCUUUGAACGCACAUUGCACCCUCUGGUAUUCUGGAGGGUAUGCCUGUUUGAGUGUCAUUA
rnacentral:rRNA from 1 species